CCUUUCUAUUCUUUUUUCCAUAUAUACUUUCUCAGAGACACCAAUUUAACUUUAGCAUAGUUUCAGUAGCUGCUACAGAAAUGUCUCAUUUCAAUGUUUUCAGUCCCUUAAAACAAAACAUUACUUUUUAUUUGUAAAAGAAAGGAUAUUAAGUCUUGUAAUUGUCCUGUACAUUUACCACAAUGUAUUUAAGCAUUUUAAGAAAUUGUUUUCCAGGUAUUCUUAAAUUUUAUAAAAUAUUUAAAUAUUUAGCUUCAAAUUUUGAGGAUAUUUUACUUAAAGUUGCCAUAACCUGGGUGAUCAUAGUGAAUCUACAAGCGCUGACCCAUCAUUUUUAGAAAUCUUAAUUUUUAUGCUUGACGUUUUCUAGAUUCAUCUUUUCCUCAAGAUUUUACAUAUUAAAAAAAAAAAUCCCCUCUUGUAAAUCAUCCAGACAUUUUCUGAGUAUCCAUGGAGUGGAAAGUGCACAUGCUUAAAAUGACAUUAUUCUCACUUUUCUUUUGGAUCAACUCUGUCUCUGGAAUGGUUAGAGCUGAAAUUUCAAAUUUGGUAGGGAAACCUCUCUCAUUGAGAAGUACUUUUGAGGGUUCCUCUGUAAAUUGAUUUUGAUUUGAAUGAGUUCUGAGCCCUUGAAAAUCAUACUUAGUACAGAUAUGAGUAUCAUUCUUAGCACACUGAAGGAAAAAUCACAGUGGCUGUGAUUUUGGAGUAACAUGUGGAAUAUAGGUAGGCUGUGGUGGAGGAGACAGUCAUAUAUUGAAAUACUGAGUGGCCAUGCACAGUGAAUACAGGAGAGUGCACUUGUGUACUGUGCUGAGCAUAAAACCAGGUCUGUUUACUCAGCUGAAUUUUGUUCAGCACAGAAACGUUGUUGGGCAAGUGAGGAGCAAUGAACGUGGGUUCAAGACCAGGAUUUGGGAUUACUGCACAUGCCCCCUGCUUUGCAGUAGCCAUUGCAGCCUCAGUGCUGGGAUGGCAGCUGCAGCCUUGGCACUUCUCUGCAUUGAAUACGGAAGCCGUUGGUUCUGAAUAAAUAGAUGGAAAUGCACUUUCUCUCGGAGGGUCCUGGGCUGUUUCACUGGCUGCGGAAGAAUCCCUUUGCCCAUGACAGCCAGGCUGAUUUUCUGCCAUGCUGGCCACAGGCAAGGCUACAUCAUCUGCCACGAGCAACAGAAUAUUUACUAUCAGCUGCACUAAGGAGAAUUAGCAGCAGCAUUACCAAAUCACAUCAGCAGCUUGGAUGCGUCGAGCACAGAAAAUUACUGACAACUGCUCCACUGAGCCACCAGUGAAUCCCACUGUGCAAUCCGUGUGCGUGCAUGUCCUGCUGGAGCCGCUGGAUUCCUCAGCACACCUUCCAGACCCUCAUUUGGAUUAAUAAUAUAAAUAUGCACUGUGAGCUCUUGUGAAUUACCAGAUUAAUUUAUCUUUGUGGAAAUUACUUUUUUUCCUCUUUUAAAUGAGUCAGUCAGAGGGGCUGAAUAUGGCAUUCAAGAAUUAUGAUGGGUGGGAGCAUUUUUAAGUGACUGAUUUUGCAGCACAAUGUGCCCUAUAUUUAUUGGCCUUUUACUCUAGGGCUAUUUUAAUUGUUAUCUGUUCAUGCAUGUUAGACUAUAUAAUGAAAUGCUCCCAUUUCACUCAUAGAGUGGAGAGUUUUUUAUGUGUAUCUCUAUUAAUGACCCUUAAUUAAGUUGAUUUUAGUAAUUUAAAUGUGAUUUUCCUCUGGUCAAGAAGUAUUUUUAACGGGAGAUGUUGAAAAUGAACUCUCACAUAAGCCCUUUUCUAAUGCUUCUUGUUUAACAGUUACAGCAAUUUAUCAAGCCAUGUUUUCAAUGAAUGAAGUGUGGGAUAGCUGUGCAAAAACCUGCUCAUUUAUAUGAUUCAUCAAAUGUGAUUGUUAGCAACCGUUUUUCUGGUAUUUAUUCAUGAAAAAUUUCAAUUUUCCAAGCAAAUAACAAAAAUAUUACCAAUGGAUAAACUUCGUGACAGUUCUGAGCUACAAUAAAUAAAAGGGUACAUCUUAAAAGAGACAAGAAAUAAAUUAACAUAUUUUAAAAUAAUUUAGUCAUAGUAUCAACAGAAGCAGAGUACCAGAAUUAUUUAGGAUUACAAGAAUUAACAUCCCAAACUAUUUAGGAAAUAAAAUCGACUUGCUUUCGAUAAAGUUAACAACAUCAAAAGCAUUGUUCUGACAACCCUUUUCAAAAUAUGUGAUUUAAUCUUUCUUUUUAAACUGAAAAAAGAAUGACUGGAGAUUUUCUGAAUAUAUACUCACUUGGAGGUAAAACACUAGAGAUCUUUCAUUUGGCUUGUCAGGUGAUUUUACUACUCUAGCAUAAUUUAGCUACUUGUGCAAAUAUUCAUUUUGCUGAAACUUCUGAGGAUUGAAGUUUAAAAUGAGGUAUUAAAAAUCACUAAGGGUAACAAUACGUGGAAUCCAGCCAAGUCAACUAGGUAAGAAUACUUAGUUUUUUACCACUAAUUACAAAAUGUUCCCAUUUUUCAAUCCAAAAUAAUUGCUGUGGUUUGAAAGACCUUAACUUGCAAUUGUAACUCUAACUGUCUAAUAAAACACCGACUUUGUAACCCCCCUUGUUGCAAAGGUAUGUCCAAGCUUCAAAAAUAGGAUGGGAAAGAUUAAAGGUUCUUUCCAGCUCUGGGUAACCUGUGUAGCAGAAGAGCAGCUCACAUUUCACAUGCAAUAACCUGUGCAUUUGCUAAAAAAAAAAAGAAGAAAAAAAAAAAAGGGAAAAAAAAAAAAGAAAAAAACUCCAAGAACAACACAGGGAAAUGCCUGAGGCAGAAGUUGAAACUGAUUGGGCAAAGUAGAAGGACAAGAGCCCUUGAAAUUAAACAAAAGCAAAUUCAUUCUGUUGACAGAUGUUGAUUACAUCAAAGCCAUGAAAGAACUUUUUUUUGUUUCUCUUUUUUUUUUCCUUUUUUGCAACUAAUACCUCCACAUUUUCUGUACAUUACGGAUAUAACGUACCUUAAUCAACAUAAUCCAACACAUAAUAAUUCUCAAAUUUGGUAAAAGUAUAUUGCAAGAAGGUCUUAACAACAGGCUUCUCCAAACAAGAGUGUAUUCACAUGGUCAUGUCUGCAUACCCCUGCUGGUCACGCCAUCAUCAGCCCCUUACUUCCAGGGGUUAACUGCUCUGGCAGCCAAAUAAAAUACAGAGAGCGCUGUGUAAUUAUGGAGACAGUCAAAGGGCAGACUCUAUUUUGAAAUCUAUUUGCACAGACAAGGUCUUCCAAUUUUGCUUACAGGAAACAAGCUGGUAAAGGGGGUCUCCUCCUCUCCAGAUGCUUUCCACACGUUUUUCCCACAUCAGGAAAUCGUGGACAUGGACAC